UUGGAGGGCAAGUCUGGUGCCAGCAGCCGCGGUAAUUCCAGCUCCAAUAGCGUAUAUUAAAGUUGUUGCAGUUAAAAAGCUCGUAGUUGAAUUUCGGGGUUAGUAGGUUGGUCAUGCUACUGGUAUGUACUGGUCUCACUGAUUCCUCCUUCCUGAUGAGCCGUAAUGCCAUUAAUUUGGUGUUGCGAGGAAUCUGGACUGUUACUUUGAAAAAAUUAGAGUGUUUAAAGCAAGCUAACGCUUGAAUACAUUAGCAUGGAAUAAUGAAAUAGGACGUUCGAUCCUAUUUUGUUGGUUCCUAGGAUUGACGUAAUGAUUAAUAGGGAUAGUUGGGGGCAUUAGUAUUCAAUUGUCAGAGGUGAAGUUCUUGGAUUUAUUGAAGACUAACUACUGCGAAAGCAUUUGCCAAGGAUGUUUUCAUUAAUCAAGAACGAAAGUUAGGGGAUCGAAGACGAUCAGAUACCGUCGUAGUCUUAACCAUAAACUAUGCCGACUAGGGAUCGGAUGAUGUUAUUUUUAAUGACUCAUUCGGCGCCUUACGGGAAACCAAAGUGUUUGGGUUC
rnacentral:rRNA from 1 species